CAAAAGCUCAAAUUUGAAAUCUGGCGUCUCUGACGUCCGAAUUGUAAUUUGGAGAGGCAACUUCGGUGAUGGCGCCGUCCUAAGUUCCUUGGAACAGGAUGACACAGAGGGUGAGAUCCCCGUACCUGGGUGGCUGUCCAUCGCCAUGUGAAGUGUCUUCGACGAGUCGAGUUGUUUGGGAAUGCAGCUCAAAAUGGGUGGUAAAUUUCAUCUAAAGCUAAAUAUUGGCGAGAGACCGAUNGCGCACAAGUAGAGUGAUCGAAAGAUGAAAAGCACUUUGAAAAGAGAGUUAAAAAGUACGUGAAAUUGUUGAAAGGGAAGCGCUUGAGACCAGACUCGAUUCCUGGUGAUCAGCUGUGCUUCUGUUGCAGUUGCACUUGCCAUGGAUUGGGCCAGGGUGGGAUAAAAGGUUAAGGAAUGUAGCUUCCUUCGGGGGAGUGUUAUAGCNUCAGCCAUAAUGCCACCAGUUGGGACCGAGGACCGCGCUCCGGCUAGGAUGCUGGCGUAAUGGUCUUAAGCGACCCGUCUUGAAACACGGACCAAGGAGUCNAACAUCUAUGCGAGUGUUCGGGUGGAAAACCCUUGCGCGUAAUGAAAGUGAACGGAGGUGGGAACCCGUAAGGGUGCACCAUCGACCGAUCCUGAUGUCUUCGGAAGGAUUUGAGUAAGAGCAUAGCUGUUGGGACCCGAAAGAUGGUGAACUAUGCCUGAAUAGGGUGAAGCCAGAGGAAACUCUGGUGGAGGCUCGCAGCGGUUCUGACGUGCAAAUCGAUCGUCAAAUUUGGGC
rnacentral:rRNA from 1 species